rfam:Erinaceus europaeus unplaced genomic scaffold scaffold00456, whole genome shotgun sequence
GCUUUUGCGCAGUGGCAGUAUCGUAGCCAAAGAGGUUUAUCCGAGGCGCGAUUAUUGCUAAUUGAAAAAUUGAUUAG